rnacentral:rRNA from 1 species
CCUACGGGAGGCAGCAGUGGGGAAUUUUGGACAAUGGGCGCAAGCCUGAUCCAGCAAUGCCGCGUGAGUGAAGAAGGCCUUCGGGUUGUAAAGCUCUUUUGUCAGGGAAGAAACGGUGGGGGCUAAUAUCCCUCGCUAAUGACGGUACCUGAAGAAUAAGCACCGGCUAACUACGUGCCAGCAGCCGCGGUAAUACGUAGGGUGCAAGCGUUAAUCGGAAUUACUGGGCGUAAAGCGUGCGCAGGCGGUUUUGUAAGUCUGCCGUGAAAGCCCCGGGCUCAACCUGGGAAUUGCGAUGGAGACUGCAAGGCUUGAAUCUGGCAGAGGGGGGUAGAAUUCCACGUGUAGCAGUGAAAUGCGUAGAGAUGUGGAGGAACACCGAUGGCGAAGGCAGCCCCCUGGGUCAAGAUUGACGCUCAUGCACGAAAGCGUGGGGAGCAAACAGGAUUAGAUACCCUGGUAGUCCACGCCCUAAACGAUGUCUACUAGUUGUCGGGUUUUAAUUAACUUGGUAACGCAGCUAACGCGUGAAGUAGACCGCCUGGGGAGUACGGUCGCAAGAUUAAAACUAGAAAGUAGUAGACGNGUGAGUGCGACGAGACACGACGGAGGGUUAG